rnacentral:lncRNA from 1 species
UAUAUUUUUAUUUCUUUUCCUUUUAAUAGUUCGUCAUCUAAAGCAACCAUUAAUCACCUCAAUAUAUUUUAUUCCCUUCCUUAUAUAUUCUCAAUUUGAAUUUUAAAUUUCAAAAUUUUUUUAUCCCAACAAUCACUAGCUCAUUUGAAUGGAUUCAGCAAUUAAGUUUAUUAAAUAUUCCAUAUGAAUAUAUUAGUUGGUUUUAUAUGGAUUGGUUUUUCAUGAUAUAAGAUGACUUUAGUAAGUGAAUGUUACAGAUAAUGGUUACGAUUUUUAGUUAGAAUU